ACUCGGGCUGUGCUACUUUACGUCCCAACUGCGGAUCUCUGAUGGGACAGCUGGGAGGGUGGGUUGUGGGCCUGGAGGAGCAGGGCUGUCUGGUACCUGCUUGGUGCCAAGUCCGCUAACUCGCCUGAGAUGGGGCAUCUGUCAGCCAAGACAAAAUGGUGGAAAAGCUGAAAUUUAUGCCUUUGGAAUCUGAGGCAUUAACCGUUGUAAAUCAGCAUUUGGUGCCCAAAGAAAGAAUCCAUAUGGGAUUUGGAUUCGACGGGGCCUGAGUAAGAAUGCUAACUGCAUCCUUAGCUGAUGAACAAGCUGUGAGGCCUUGUGAAGGAAAGUCUCAGGACCUCUUCCCUCCUUGUCUGCAACGGGCACCGUGGUUCCUCCGUGAGACGGUGCUGUGAGGGUGGGUGCCCAGCUGUGUGCGCAGCGUGUGUGCCAGGCUGAGCAGCUGGCACGGGAUGCAAGAAAUCAAAGGCUUCCUGGUACUCGGGCAAAGCUUGGCUCAGAGAAGCUGCCACGUUGCUCGGGGCGCACAGCGGAACACCCAGCAGGUGGUCGGCUUCCCAUCCUCCAUGCCUCCCGGCCCUGAACCUCGCUUCCAGCUCAUAGCAACUCCACAAGGCUGAUUGACAGAGAGCAUUGCCCCCUGUUUGUUCAUUUUUGUUGUGGUAAAAUAUACAUAAUAUAAAAUUUACCAUUUUGUCCAUUUUUAGGUGGGCAGUUCAGUGAGAUUAAGUACCUUCACAUUGUUGUACAAUCACCACCACCGUCCGUCUCCACACCUUUUGCAUCAUUCCUGUACUCGUGAAAUGAUAACUCCUCCUCUCCCUUCACCCAGCCUUGGUAACCUCUAAUAUUUCCUGUUUCUAUGAAUGUGACUGUUCUAGGUAAACUCAUGUAUGUGGAAUCAUACAAUACUUGUCCAUUUGUGUUUGGCUACUUUCACUUAGGAUAAUGUCGUCAGGGUUCAUCCGUGCUUGGCAUGUGUCAGAAUUUCAUUUGUUUUUAAGGCUGAAUAAUAUUCCAUCGUUUGUAUGUACCACAUUCUGCUUAUCCAUUUGUCCAUCAAUGAUCAUUUGCGUUGUUUCCACAUUUUGGCUGUUGUGAAUAAUACCGCCAUGAACAUGGGUGUGCCACAUCUGUUUG